AUUAAGAGUCUGCCAGAACAUUAGUCAUCUAGAAAAUCAUGUUGCAAUAUUUAUGUAUGUAUAUUUAGUUGAAAUAAACAGUAUAUUUAGUGGUACAGUUGAUUUAUAUCCUGAAGUUCUUUAAGAGGGGCCAGUAACCAAAACCUCCAUGAUCAGCAGCAGUCCACAGACCACAUAGUGUGUGUAGAUAGCAUCCUUAUAGCGCAAUAUAGAAGCAUACUUUCAGCCAAAUGUUUGCUUGCACAUAGAGGACUUUGCCUUGUAAUUUAAGAAAAACAGACUCUUCAGUUUGUACUCUAAAUGCUAAGUGAUUGCUCAGCAGCAUUAAGUACAGUUUUCUAUUAGUUCAAAAUACACAAUCUCAAGGUAAUUUAGGAGCUUUUAGGAGAUGUAGAAAUACUUCAUUUUUCAUUGGACUUGUUUUGUCAGCUUUUUGGGGGUCAUUUUUAUUCAGGAUGAAGAUGCAUCAGGGGGCGAUCAAGAUCAGGAAGAAAGAAGAUGGAACAAAAGGACUCAGCAGAUGCUUCAUGGUCUUCAGCGUGCUCUUGCUAAAACUGGAGCUGAAUCUAUCAGUUUGCUUGAGUUAUGUCGAAAUACGAACAGAAAACAAGCUGCCGCAAAGUUCUACAGCUUCUUGGUUCUUAAAAAGCAGCAAGCUAUUGAGCUGACACAGGAAGAACCGUACAGUGACAUCAUCGCAACACCUGGACCAAGGUUCCAUAUUAUAUAAGGAGCUAGAAGCAUUAUAGCUAGUGUUUGAUUCACUAGUGCUUACAAAUUGCCCCCAUGUGUAGGGGACACAGAACCCUUUGAGAAAACUUAGAUUUUUGUCUGUACAAAGUCUUUGCCUUUUUCCUUCUUCAUUUUUUUCCAGUACAUUAAAUUUGUCAAUUUCAUCUUUGAGGGAAACUGAUUAGAUGGGUUGUGUUUGUGUUCUGAUGGAGAAAACAGCACCCCAAGGACUCAGAAGAUGAUUUUAACAGUUCAGAACAGAUGUGUGCAA
rnacentral:lncRNA from 10 species